rnacentral:lncRNA from 1 species
CUAAUUAGAUUGAAACUAAGUCUAGAAUGAAUUAGACUAGAAUCAGAGUCGAAUCAGAUUCAAAUUAAGCCCAGAUUGAACCAAAUUGGAUAAAUAUGCAAGAGUUUCAGAUUUAUUCAAACUCUCUCUCCUCUCUUAUGAAAGAAAAGAGGGGAAUGCAUCCCUCCUUUGGCGUAUGCAAAAAGGGAGAGAAGGUGCCAAAGGUUGGUGCCCCUCUUCCUUGGGCUUCUCUUUCUCCUUGCCACAUG